rnacentral:tRNA from 1 species
GCGAAGGUGGCGGAAUUGGUAGACGCGCUAGCUUCCGGUGUUAGUGUCCUUACGGACGUGGGGGUUCAAGUCCCCCCCCUCGCACCA